GAUGAACGCUGGCGGCGUGCCUAAUACAUGCAAGUCGAGCGAACGGACGAGAAGCUUGCUUCUCUGAUGUUAGCGGCGGACGGGUGAGUAACACGUGGAUAACCUACCUAUAAGACUGGGAUAACUUCGGGAAACCGUAGCUAAUACCGGAUAAUAUUUUGAACCGCAUGGUUCAAAAGUGAAAGACGGUCUUGCUGUCACUUAUAGAUGGAUCCGCGCUGCAUUAGCUAGUUGGUAAGGUAACGGCUUAGCAAGGCAACGAUGCAUAGCCGACCUGAGAGGGUGAUCGGCCACACUGGAACUGAGACACGGUCCAGACUCCUACGGGAGGCAGCAGUACGGAAUCUUCCGCAAUGGGCGAAAGCCUAACGGAGCAACACCGCGUGAGUGAUGAAGGUCUUCGGAUCGUAAAACUCUGUUAUUAGGGAAGAACAUAUGUGUAAGUAACUGUGCACAUCUUGACGGUACCUAGUCAGAAAGCCACGGCUAACUACGUG
rnacentral:rRNA from 1 species